rnacentral:lncRNA from 1 species
CCACUAACUAUGAUGUGCAUUUUUGCUUCAAUCAUAACACCAAAGAAUCUUUUUGUUGUGGCUAACCCUCUGAAAUGUCCAGAUCAUAUUGAUUUGUUUACUGAUUUAAUAUUGACUACUUUUAGUUUGUGAUUGCAUCUUGCAUCUUGAAAGAAAGAAUAGUGAAAUACAGUUUGUUGAUUUUAUUUAGGUACACAAGACUGUUUGUGCCUGUUACUUGGGCUUAUCUGAGACUUCUCCCUUUUAGAAGGCAAGCCCCCUAGUUGGGGUUGAGUGUGUGUUUUGAAAUGCCUGUGCUAAACCAAGUCUUUCCUUUUCCCUUUCAGAAUGAAGACCUAAACAACCUCAGCAAAUCUUCCUCUAACUCAUGGGUACCCAGACUCUAACUCUUUCAUGAUUCACAAUCAGGACCUCACAUCUUCCGCCUCUGUAGAUGGUACGAUGCAUCCAUUUCAGUUUGUUUACUUUAUACAAUCCUCAGGAGUUUGUUGACUGAACUGCACGUUCUAUAUUGUGCCAAGCAAAAAAGCACUGUGACACCAGAAGAAUAGUCUGCGUGAACUUCAUCUUGAACCUUAAGGACUUAGCUGGCCACAAUGAGCUGAUGUGCCCACUACCAGGCUGCAAGAGAAUGGGUUUCCUCUCAUUUACAAGAUUUGUUUCAUCUGCUGCUGAAACUGUGUUUGACAAAAUGUCAUUGUAAAUUAUUUCAUUCAAAACUGUUCACAUUGGGUGGAGAGAGUAUUAAAUAUUUAACAUAGGUUUUGAUUUAUAUGUGUAAUUUUUUUAAUGAAAAUGUAACUUUUCUUACAGCACAUCUUUUUUUUGGAUGUGGAACUGAGGUAUACAAUGUUCUGUUGUAAAGAGUGGAGCAAAUGCUUAAAACAAGGCUAACAAGAGUAGAAUAGUGUAUGAUCCUUGUUUUAAGAUUGUAAUUCAGAAAAAUAAUAUAAUAAGAAUCAUAGUGCCAUAGAUGAUUCUCAAUUGUAUAGUUAUAUUUGCUGAUACUAUCUCUUGUAAUAUAAACUUGAUGUUGAGCUGAGUUCCUUAAAAGAAUUAAUCUUAAUUUUGUAUUUUUCCUGUAAGACAGUAGACCAUGUUAAUUAAACUGAAGAACAGUAUAUACUACUUGGGUAUUUUCAAGUGUCAGCUUAAAAUUGAUGAUUGAAUGGAAGCAAAAUUAUAAGAAAAGGAAAUCAAAGUCUUCCAUUGUAUAUAUUGUAAAGAGAAGGAGACCUGGGUGAUCCUUUCAAAUCAAAAGCUCUCUUUGGAAUGAACAAUGUGGGUGUUUGUAAAUUCUGGAAAUGUCUUUCUAUUCAUAAUAAACUAGAAUCUGUUAAUCUUUUCUUCUCUCCCCCUCCCCCAGUCCACUUCUGGAAGCUUCCUGCUCCAUUCCCACCAUUUUUUUUUCCUGUGCACAUGUUAUAAUAUUUCAUUUCUUGCGUUGUAUUGAGUAUACUUAGACAAGUGAGUGCUUGCUAACCAGAAAUUAAAAUUCCAGAGUGGCUUUUUUUUUUUUUUUUUGAAUCAUGACCAGGGCUACAUGUCAGUUUCCUUAAGACCCUGAGUUCACAUGUUCUGAGAACUUCUGGUUUUACAUUAUUUAACCUAAUGUAACUGGCCCAUUUGCCCUGGUAGGUGCUGGCCUAGUAGUGAUUAGUUUAAUUAAAAAAACAAAAAACAAAACAAAAAAAAACAAAAACACAAAAAACAAAAAUAAAAAACAGUGCACAGACAGCACAUAAAAACAUAAUGACCUGCUAUGGGAACAUCUAGCCUGCAGUGAGAAUUUUUAAUCCUUUUCUUGUUUAGAAAGUAUACACAUCUUGGGAUUUUUCCUUGUGAAACACAAAUGGCAAUGAGCACAUUUAAAGAUAUUGCCUACAGAAGUUUUGAAUCUUUUUGCCAGGAAACUUCCAAAAGUUAAGUGAAUUCAUGCAAAUAUCAGGCUCCCUCUGAGCCAGUGUGAAGUCUGUAUCAGUGGUUGCCAGCCCUGCUGUUGGGAGGAGCAACAGUUUAUUUCUGGGAAGGGUUGAUCCUCCUGGGUGGAGCUACAAGGAAGGGCCAGGGUUGGAGGGCCUCGCAGUGGCUGCUGCUCUGAUCAGCUGGUUGGAGAGCUCUGCUCUACUUAAAAGGGAGUGGAGAUAAAUGGCACCCGCACACUGCUGAGGCCCGUGUUACUGUUCAUUCAACCAGAUGGCAUGUACCUCACAGACUAUUGUACAAUGUUCAUCGUUGCAGAUUUUAAUCAUUUGCAUGCUCAUCAAUUUCUAAGAUAAAUAAGCCUAUAGUCAUAAGAAUCCAUUGUUUUCAAGGACCUUGCUGAAUUACAUCAUUUCCUAUUCAUAGAGAACACCACCAACUUUGAAAAUAUCAUAGGAAAGUUAUUUUUUACUCCUUUGUAAAAAAGAAAGAAAAGACUUUCUCAGUCAAACUAACUUUUCAUUUUUGACUCUUCUGAUUCGUACUCUUGCUAGUGUAAGAAGAAAGCUAGCUAUCCUGCUCUCUUCCGUUGAGCACUUAAGUAGUAAAAGAGAAAUCAAUGAACAAAGCUGCCUCAACUAUUUUUCCUGCUAAGCUGGUUAUUAUUUCUCAAGGAACCCAGACUUUAAAUAUGUAUUACCAAGAUACCUCUGCAUGUGGAAUUAUCAACAUAUUUUGGGUGAGAACAGAAACGAACAGACUGGAAAGUGCAUCUCUUAGUUUCUAUGGCUGACUUUUUGUUGAUUCAAAUAAAGGUAGAAAUUCUUAUUUAAGCUGCUUCCAGAGGUGCCUGAGCUGGGUUUGAUGGCAGUAUCAAACUUUACUGACUUAAAACUGGAAGUUGCUGGUACUCAAGCCAACAGCUCGUGCUCUGGCUAACUCAAAGGGUUUUUCUUUGAGCACAUCGGCUGCUAAGUCCUUGUGUUUGGUUCCUAUUUAAGAGAGUUGGCUUUUAUCCAUUUCAAAGUAUUUGUCGGCCAGCCAAGGGCUUACGUUAAUGGGGCUUCUAGUGGCCUCUGGUUAACCUAGAAGUUAGUGGCUUUUUCUUCAUGAGAACAACCUUUCACAGCAUUCUUUCUUAGAUACAGGCAGAGUUAUAAAAUUCUCCUUUGUGAAAGGAACAAAUGUUUUGUAGCUUUGAUAUCUUCAUUCUGGGCAAAAGCAUGUCCCUAGAACCAGUUAGAAGUAAGGGGAAUCCAUUAAUGAUCAACCACCUGAGUCAAUAAUGACAAAUCAGUUCUGAUGUUACAUGUGUGGCUAUUUCUUGCUAACUCUCAAAGGUCAGGGACUCUCUUGACUAAUCUAGUGAUGCAAAAAUGGAUUUACUCAGAAUCAUCUGGUCAGAAAGUAGAGAUUUUUAACCUUUCUUUUCCCUGGCUUUUGUCUUUUGGGUAUAUUUUAAAUGGGAGACAGAGUAUUAAGAAACAGUUUUGUACUGUAAGAAACAGUGCUUUACAGUACUGAAGCCCUGUUUUAUGCAUUCUUGCAUCCUGAAUGCAAUAUGCCAUGUAGCUGAAAACUUCAAUUUUAUUUACUAUAGGCGGUUUAAAGGUGGGGAAGGAGGCUCACCACCCAUUGACGCCAAGAGCCACAAAAAUCAGUACAGAGAGAAGCACUGUGGCUGAUCCCAUAUUCAGUCUGUCAUUGGCUUUGUGGAGCUCUACAGGUCAGUCCAUCAUACAAGGAAGCCCUGAAACCAGACACUGAGAAUUAAAGCCCUGAUAGGGGAGAGAAGGAUCCUUUGGGAGGCAUGCAAAAGAGAAUGGGUGGAAAUCAAAUAUGAAAUCACUUCUUUGUAGUGAUUUGAGGGAGGGAUAGUGUUCCCAGCACUUGGUGAAUGUUAGUUGGAGGUGAUGCUAUAUUCAUGUAUAUAGGCUACUGAGAAACCUGAAGGAAGAAGCAUGCCCUUCCAGGGAUGUGAGGAAUAUCACCUUGCCAAGGCUAAGGAAAAGAGCUCCAUCCAGACGGUAGAUUUACUUAUGAGGAGCAAUGACAGCCUUUUAGUAGAAUGUCCAGGGUUAAAGAGGGCCUUUGGUCAUUUCUAAAGUCAAGCCUGGGAAGAUCUUCAAGGUCUUGCCAUAGCUCUGUAAACCAGACCCCUAGGUGUGGCUGCAGAACAUGUGGGUCUGGUGUGUGUUGGUUAUUUCUCACUGCUUGUAACCAGAGCAUCAAAUUCGAUGCUGCAAGGUUGAAUGAUAUUGGGAGUGUUUGGCCCUACUCUUAAGAGAUCUAUCAUUAAUAAACAGCUUAUAAUUAGCUAGUAUGAUUAGAAAAUGUAUGACUUAGAUGACAAGUUGUCUUCCUUUCCUAGCUUGUCGAUGACUUGGCAUUUGUGAUGUAUACACAAAGAGAUCCGGUGUGUUAGCCUUUCACCAUUCACCUGGCAUUUAAAUCUCUCUUUGCUCAUGCUGUUCAUUUACCAGUGUUACCCAAUAUGCCAUGUGCUAGGACAAAUUCACUACACAGGAAAGUGUCUAGAUUUGUGUAGACAUCUUUAGUGCUGAUUUUUUUUUCCUUCUUUGCCAUUGGCCUAAGAAUGUAGUUCCCAGAACAAUUUUUUCUUGCAAAAUAUUUUCCUUACACCUCUUGGCUACAGGGUGGGCCAAAUCAACUACAUAUAUAUUUUCACUUACUGUGUGUGCAGUUUGGUUUAUCAUCCUAAGAUGGUGGUGCUGCUCCUGGUGCUACUUCAUCUGUGUACAAGAGACCAACACAUGGUCUGUAUUGCUACCAAAACAUUUAUUGUAUAUAUGUGUAUAACAUACGUAUUAUGUAUAUAUGUCAUGGGUACCAGGCCAGGUUUAUAUUUUUUAUUUAGAAGUGUUUCACUUUUCCAAGUUUUCUUUAUAGUGUUAUGUUUAUUUUCAAUUUUUUUCCCCCUUGAUUCUGUCUGGUACUUAGAACUGUAGUGUCUUCAUCGUUAAUUAAAGAAAACUGUCUAAAUGAAUUUCACGAUGUCAAUGUUAGUGAUCCUUCCUGUCUUUUGAUUAUGGGACAUGACACAGAAACUGGGCAUUUGGCUGGGUUAGGAGCAGUGGAUACCAUUAAUUUUGGAACUGAUCUUUUUGCCUGACUCUAUCUCUUCUCAGUUGGCUUUCAAUGGCCAAGUGAAUAAACAAAAUGGCCUUGGGAAAGAUUUUAAGGUGCUUUUAUUGGUGGUGGUGAUGAGGGAGAACAGAAUAGGCAGGGAAAAAAAAAUCCAUCCUUGGUGGAAAGAUUUGUGUUUAGUUUACAGACACUGCGACAGCCUCUUCAACCUUAAAUGUGCACACAGAUCUCUGGUUCAAAUGCAGGUUGUCAUUCCAGAUAUUGGGGCCAGACUUGAGAGAGAGCUUUUCUAACCCGUUCCCUGGCAAGGCCAAGGCAAGUACUGCUAGUCCUAACCUGAUGGCAAUUAGCUUUGGAUACAUAUUAGUGUCAUCUGGGCAGCUAUUAAAAGACUCAGUGGCCAGGCCAACUCUGGGGAUGCUGGUUUAACAGGUCCAGGGGUGGGUCCUGAACUUUAGUUGUUUCAGAUGCACUUGAUGCUCCCAGGGAGAUUCUAGCAAGUGGUCAGGGCUGAGAACCAUUGCUGCAAAGUGUUGCCUAAACUUCUCUGAUUAUUAGAGUUGCUUAUUAGAAAUACUGACACCUGGAGUGGUGUAGGAAUGUGCACCUUUCAGCAGGCGACUCUUCUGGUAGGCAAGUUUGGGAGAGACUCAUUUCUGUGGAAGUGGAGGUUUUAGAUCAUUUCACCAAUAGAAGGAAUAGCAACACCUGCAAUUUUUGAAAAUAAUUUACCGUGUGCCUAUACAGAAGCAGCCAGGAUCUUCCUUUGCUCCUCUGAGCUUUCUUGCUUCAACAACUUAAAAUGAAGAUAAUUGAUAGGUCCUGGAUAGUUAAAGGUAACUCAAAAGUUUUUUGACAUUUUGGAAACAUAUUCAAGUUUUUUUUAAUUUAAUUUUUUAUAAGCAUGGUGUUGCACUGAAAGCAGACAGACUCACUUUCCUGUCCUUAUUUGGGGCAUCGGCUGGAGGACUCUUCCUUCUGCCUGCCAGUGUAAAUAAUAUUUUCACUGUUUCGGAGCAGCAUAUGACCUGAUUUAAUAAAUGCUAGAAGCUCUUUGGUGUUCCUUUUAUAUUACCUUUCUCCAUUUAUACUUAAAACAAGAACCACUGAUUUUUCCCCUCCUACGGGUACUGCAAAGCGAACAUGUAUCCCCUAUUGAAAUGACAUGUGAACAUCACUAAUUAGUAUGAAUUUGAGGGAGGUCUAGUUGGAAUGAAUUAAUGGUGUAAUUUUUAGCACAGCUGCUUAUUACCUUUACAAAUAUAUAAAAACAAACUAUAGCAAGUAAAGUGCUGUCAAUGAAGGACCUUUGAGAAAUGCAUAGCCAAGUAGAACUUGUAAUUACCUCAGUGAUUCUAUUAUAAAUAGUAGCAACAUUUAUUCCACAUUUAUUCUAGGUUAGCCACCAGGAUUUAUGUCAAUUAUCUCAUUUUAUUCUUGUAGGUAACCCAGGGGUAGAGGAGGGGUGUGUCUGGUCACAGAUUACUGAGGUGGAACAGUCUCUCACAUUGAGGACUGUUGGAUGACAGGGUUUAUGUUCUCAUCAACACCACUGCAAGUCUCUGGGUUCCAGAUACUUAAAAUUAUGUUCCACAAAUUUAAAACACUGUUGGGCUGAGGUUGUAGCUUAGUGGUAGAGCAUUUCUUGCCUAGUAUGGGAAGGCCCUAGGUUUAAUCCCCCCAGUACCACAAAACAAAAAAAAAAAAGGAAAAGAAAGAAAAAAUACAACCCACUAUUACUCUAGCUGCCUUGGGCUAUGAACUUGCUGUACAAACAUAAUAUGUGAGCCUGAAAGUAUGCUUUUGCUUGUCCAGCUUAUAACUUUCACCCUACAAGGUAACAGGGCCUGAUUCCAUUUAUUUCCAUUUCUUACCUUUGUAUCUAGUUUAGUUCAUUAGUGUCAAGAGUUUAUCCUAAUUCUGUUUUUCUCACUAAGUACACCUCAUUUCAGCAAUGGAAUAGAGAUAUCCAGAUUUAAUUUAGUAGAACACAAAAGGAUAGUAAUAUGGUUAGAUGUGAAAGCCACAUAAAAUCCAAACAGAUAUGUUUGGGGGCAUUAGGUUUUACAUAUUACCUCUGGUGAACCUUUCUGAAUCAGAAUUUCUCAUGGGAUAUGGAUGAUUAGGAAAAUGAGUGGAAAAGCAAUAGGAAAUAUGGGGAGGCAGAUGCCUGAGUAUCAGCUGAAUCACAGAAAUAGUUCCCACCAUUAGUGAAUGAAUGAAUGAGGCUUCUCUAAAGUACAGGAACUCCUAUAAGCUACAGUCAGUUUUUCCCAAAGUUCAGAUCAAGAGCAACUCUUAACAGAAUUCCUACUGUGCUUAUAACAACAGACUUUAGCAAUGGCCAUAGGAAACUAUUUUAAUAAUAAAUUGGUUUCCCAAUACACACACAUUUGGGUGACCUAUACCCCAACUCUGAAGGAAUAUGUUACUGGAGUUCAUUAAGUAAUGUCCUAUCUGCUCCCUCUCUGUAAGUUGCUCCAAGCUCCAAAUCUCAAGGAUCAAAGUUACCUAAUUGUAAAUGAGAGAAGAAUUGUUAUAGUUGGAGUUCCUGAAAAGAAAAACAACCCAAAAAGUAAAAUUCAGUAAAACUAGUCUAAACUUACAAAGAAAUAGCAUUAAAAUAGAGUUAUUAGGUAAAUUUGCAUAGAUAUUAUAUAACAUUAGCAUGAUUCUAUAAAACAAAUAAGAAAUAUGUAUGCAAAUGGAAGUUUAUUUCUCAAAAUUUUAAGAAGUGGUAUUCUGAUGGUAUUUUGGAUGAUUUUUCUUUUUUCUUUUUCUGUAAACUUUUAUAGUGAUCAUAUGUUAUUUUUAUAUUGAGAAAGAGAACAAUAAACUGUUAUAAAAACACAAAGAGGGUUGGAUGAUACUCUCAGUGAACCGCCCCCCCCCCCAAUUAAUCUCCCUAUUCAUUGUCUACAAAUUAGGAGUUAUCCACCUACAGCUUGGAGGCCUAAUUCUAUCUGCUGCUUGUUUUUAUAAAUAAAGUUUUAUUGGAACAUA